UACGUAGGGGGCGAGCGUUGUCCGGAUUUAUUGGGCGUAAAGAGCGUGUAGGCGGCCAGGUAGGUCUGCUGUGAAAACUCGAGGCUCAACCUCGAGACGUCGGCGGAAACCAUCUGGCUGGAGUCCGGAAGAGGAGAGUGGAAUUCCUGGUGUAGCGGUGAAAUGCGCAGAUAUCAGGAAGAACACCCGUGGCGAAGGCGGCUCUCUGGGACGGUACUGACGCUGAGACGCGAAAGCGUGGGGAGCGAACAGG
rnacentral:rRNA from 1 species